UAAGUCACUGUAGUAUCUUUGCCAAAAAAACCCCAAAUGAGGUCCCAAAGAGUCAGACAUGACUGAACAACAACAACAACAACUUCUAUUAAAUCUGUUACCAAUUUGGUGAGCCCUUGGGAGCUGAGGUUACUAGGCUGCCUAAGGAGAAGCAAACAAACCCUGGCCAACAACAGAGAAGGUCAAAGUUCUUGUGCUGAUCAGAGGUUGUACCUUAUUGGAUGUCCAGUUUUUUGACAGCAAACCUGCAGGCUGAGGCCAAGUAGGUGAAGGUUUUUAACUGUUGGGGCCAAUGAGGUUGUCAGAUCAAGCAUGGAAAUUGGAGAAAACUAGGUAAGAUUUCAGGUCAGGUCAGUAAGGUUUCAAUGGGCAGGGAAUACUAUUAAUAAUUAUAAUACU
rnacentral:lncRNA from 1 species